rnacentral:rRNA from 1 species
UACAGAGGGUGCGAGCGUUGUCCGGAAUCACUGGGCGUAAAGGGCGCGUAGGCGGCCUGAUAAGUAGGGGGUGAAAUCCUGUGGCUCAACUGCAGGGCUGCCUCCUAGACUGUCGGGCUCGAGCACGGUAGAGGCAGAUGGAAUUCCCGGUGUAGCGGUGGAAUGCGUAGAGAUCGGGAAGAACAUCGGUGGCGAAGGCGGUCUGCUGGGCCGUUGCUGACGCUGAGGCGCGACAGCGUGGGGGAGCAAACAGG